UGAAACUCAGCGAACCAGCGACAAAUUU
rnacentral:sRNA from 1 species